rnacentral:lncRNA from 9 species
GGUUAAUCACAGGAUAUUAAAUAUAGUUCCCUGUUCUAUACAGUAGGACCUUUUUGUUUAUCCAUUCUAUAUAUAAUAGUUUGCAUCUGUUAAUCCUCCAAAAGUUAAUAUUUUUGUUUUCUUUGGAUCAGUCUCAAUGUUAGGUCUAUUUUUAAGUUUUUGAGGGACCUCCAUCCUGUUUUCCAUCGUGGUUGCACCAAGAUUUACAUUCCCAUCAACAGUGCACAAGGAUUCCCUUUUCUCAGCAUCCUCAUCAAUGCUUGUUAUUUGUGACCUUUUUGAUGAUAGCCAUUCUGACAUGUAUCAUUGUGGUUUUGUUCUGCAUUUCCCUAAUGAUUAGUGAUGUUGAGCAUCUUUUCAUGUACCUGUUGGCCAUCCGUGUGUCUUAUCUGGAAGUAUGUCUAUUCAGACCCUUUGUGCAUUUUUUAUUUGGAUUUUUUUUUGUUAUUGAGUUGUAUGAGUUCUUUAUGUAUUUUGAAUAUUAACCCCUUAUCAGGUACAUGACUUAUAGAUGCAUUUCCCAUUCAGUAGGUUGCUGUCUUAUUUUGUUGAUGCAGAAGCUUUGCUGUGCAGAAGCUUUUUAGUUUAACGUAGUCCCAUUUGUUUAUUUUUGAUUUUGUUUUCAUUAUCUGAGUCCAAAAACUAUUGCUAAAACCAGUGUCAAAGAGCAUAUUGCUUAUGUUCUCUUCUCAGAGUUUUAUGGUUUCAAGUCUUACAUUAACGUCAUUAAUCCAUUUUGGGUUUAUUUUUAUGUAUGGUAUGAGCAAGUAGUCCAGUUAAAUUCUUUUAUGUGUAGGUGUCCAGUUUCCUCAACACCAUUUAUUGAAGAAGCUGUUAUUUCUCCAUUGUAUACUCUUUCCUCCUUUGUCUUAGAUUAAUUGACCACAUAAGUGUGGGUUCAUUUCUGGGCUCUCUUCUGUUCCAUUGAUCUAUGUGUCUGUCUUUGUACCAUACCAUACUGUUUUGAUUACUAUAGCUUUGUAAUAUUGUUUUAAAUCAGAACAUGCAAUGCUUCCAUACCAAUUUUAGAACUGUUUGCUCUAUUUCUGUGAAAAAUGUCAUUGAAAUUUUGAGAGGGAUUACAUUGCAUCUGUGGAUUGCUUUUCAUACCCUUGCUUUUAACCAGUAAACUCCCUGUCUGACUUUUUAGCAUAUUGAUCUUUGCAUGAGGUUUCAAUUGAUGAAACAGCUCCUUUGUUGGUUCAUGAAAUCUCUUCAUUUUACAGAUGAGGAAAUAUCCUUUUUGAAAGGAUUAUGUUGAGGAAUCUGUCCCUUUCAUGGCAAAUAAUUAUAACACCCUCAAAGUGGCAACAAUAAAAAUAUAUUAUUCAUUUCUGUGUAGGGAUGGUGGGCCAAUCGAUUAUACUGAGAUCAUUGUAUUCUGCUCUAGGUGUACAGUAUUUAAAAAUGAUGGGGGAGUUCCCGUCGUGGCGCAUCGGAUUCGUUAACCACUGAGCCACAAUGGGAAGUCUGAGGUCAGGCUUUGAACUCAAAUCCUCAUGGACACUAUGUUGAGUUCUUGAACUCUGUUUUAAUACUUAGUUUUUAAAUGGUAAUUAUUAAGAAUCAGGAUACUCUAUAUAAAAUUUAAUAUUCUGUUUUUUCAAGAUUACAAUUUGGAUCAAAUCUAUGACAUUAAGUUUUUAAAAACUGAAAUCAAAUUUAAGAGAGAUUGCAGUGUUCCCUUCGUGGCUCAGCGGUUAAUGAACCUGACUAGGAUCCAUGAGCAUGUGGGUUUGAUCCCUGGCCUUGCUCAGUGGGUUAAGGAUCUGGUGUUGCCAUGAGCUGUGGUGCAGGUCACAGACGUGGCUUGGAUCCUGCAUUGCUGUGGCUGUCACAUAGGCUGGCAGCUAUAGCUUCGAUUAGACCCCUAGAUGGGAAUUUCCAUAUGCCGCAGGUAUGGCCCUAAAGAGCAAAAAAAAAAAAAAGAAGAGAGAGAUGAUUACAUAUUUCACACUUUUCUUUAAUCAUCUAUGAAAUCCCUUCCAGUUACCAGCAAAAUACUGAUUUGUUAAGGCCUUUUCCCUUAAUAUCCUUUAGGGAUUCCUAAGUCCUGUAUGAAGUGACCUUAUUUUUUUCCUUUGGUCCCACAGGAAUUUCUCAAUUAGAAAUGGAGAUAAAAAUUUUAAGGGACAUUCCAAUAUAGCUGAAACAGCAAUGUUUUCUCUUCUGGAGUUUCAGUAUGAAGUUAUGAGAGCUUCACUGCUUUCAGAUUGAAUACAUACUUACUUGAAUAACUUCACAUCUCUUUGUGUAGCAUUAAAAAAAAAAAUCCCUUCUUCCUUCUCACCCUUAUCUGUACCAUAGAGUAGCAAAACCAAAAUGCCAGAUCUUAGUAGUAGGCAGAGAGAGGGUGAUUUUCUCUUUCCCUUUAAUUUGUAUGUCUUGUUUAGAGCAAGAAGGAAAGAGGGUGAUUUAAAAAUGUACAUGAAGGGUCCUUCGUGUGAUUAAAUGCCCCAGAAAGCUCACUGAAUUUGAAGUUCUUUUUUUUUUUUUUUCUUGUGUAACUGGGUCCCCAUACUGUACAGUGGGGGAAAAAAAAUUGUGUUGGGGGAAAUAACAAUAGAAAAAAAAAAAAAGAGGAGAAGACUGAAACUUAGAUGUGCAACAACAACAGCAACAGAAAUGUACAUGAAGGGUCCUUUAUGUGAUUAAAUGCCCAAGAAAGCUCAUUGAAUUUGAAGUUCUUUUUUUUUUUUUUCUUUCUUGCUAGGAAAGACUUCUGCCCUUACUUCUUCUUUUGAGAGCAUUUAAAUUAGGAAGUAACCUCAUUUGAUGUCUGCUCCUUCCAGCUACCACCCUUAGCUAAUUUUAGUUUUUGCCAGAGUUUUAAACAAACAGUUUGGGGAAUUCCAUGUGAUGCAAGAUCCUAGCCUCUUAGAAUUUUAGAGCUGUGUCAGAUAUGUUUUAGAGGAGUUCCCAUUGUGGUUCGGUGGGUUAAGAACCCGACAUAGUGUCUCUGAGGUUGCGGGUUCCAUCCCUGGCCUCGCUCAGUGGGUUAGGGAUCUGGCAUUACUAUGAGCUGUGGAGUAGGUCACAGAUGUGGCUCGAGAUCCCACAUUGCUGUGCCUGUGGGAUAGAGCAACAGCUGCAGCUCCUAUUCGACCCCUAGCCUGGGAACUUCCAUAAUCCACAUGUGCUGCGGCCUUAAAAUGAAAAAUUAAAAAAAAAAAAGAUAAAAAAAAAAA